rnacentral:rRNA from 1 species
UACAGAGGUCCCGAGCGUUGUUCGGAUUCAUUGGGCGUAAAGAGCUCGUAGGCGGCUCAGUAAGUCAGGUGUGAAAACUCCAGGCUCAACCUGGAGACGCCACCUGAUACUGCUGUGGCUAGAGUCCGGUAGGGGAGCAUGGAAUUCCUGGUGUAGCGGUGAAAUGCGCAGAUAUCAGGAGGAACACCAGUGGCGAAGGCGGUGCUCUGGGCCGGAACUGACGCUGAGGAGCGAAAGCGUGGGGAGCAAACAGG